CAUGGACAGGAAGCCACUGAGCCUUUCCAGUCAUGGAGAGUGACACUCAAAUGACUGAAAAGGCUCAGUGGCUUCUUGUCCUUG